AUGGAGGAGCUGGAUCGGGGCAUCACUCGUCAGUGCGUACGCAACCAGGACGAUAAACGACAUGGGUCGCCAUCGCGCACACAACCUUGGGCAGCAGCGGAGCCAGAGGUAGACGAAGGCCAGAGUGUCGUGGAGGCGGUCGGGGAGGAAGGCUACAGCGGCAGGUGGAGGAUGGCCACGGUGGUCGCUUGUUGUGGUAGGAGGCCGAUGGCUGCAUCGUCAUGCUCCUCGUCCACCAAGAUGCUCCAGCUCAACUCCUAUGGACGCGACAAGAACGCCGCUUGA
rnacentral:rRNA from 1 species